rnacentral:rRNA from 1 species
UGCUGUGGUGACCCCUGAUUAACAAAGGGAGAGAGCCGAAAAGAAAAUGAAUGACUGUAACAUGAAGCUAAGCAGGGCUGCGCCCGGUCAGUACCUGGAUGGGAGACCACAUGGGAAAGCUAAGUUGCUGCCGGAA